rnacentral:rRNA from 1 species
CCUACGGGAGGCAGCAGUGGGGAAUAUUGGGCAAUGGAGGCAACUCUGACCCAGCAACGCCGCGUGAAUGAUGAAGGUCUUCGGAUUGGAAAGUUCUGUGAUGGGGGAUGAAAACAAUGACGGUACCACAAUAGCAAGCCACGGCUAACGACGUGCAAGCAGCAGCGGUACGACGUAGGUGGCAAUCGUUAUCCGGAAGGACUGGGGGUCAAGGGUGCGUAGGUGGUUUAGUAAGUUGGCGGUGUAAUUCCGGGGCUCAACCUCGGCGGUACCGUCACAACUAUUAGACUAGAGUGCAGGGGGGGUAAGUGGAAUUCGUAGUGUAGCGGUGGAAUGCGUAGAUAUUAGGAAGAACACCAGUGGCGAAGGCGACUUACUGGACUGUAACUGACACUGAGGCACGAAAGCGUGGGGAGCAAACAGGAUUAGAUACCCCAGUAGUC